GAUGAACGCUGGCGGCGUGCCUAAUACAUGCAAGUCGAGCGAACGGACGAGAAGCUUGCUUCUCUGAUGUUAGCGGCGGACGGGUGAGUAACACGUGGAUAACCUACCUAUAAGACUGGGAUAACUUCGGGAAACCGGAGCUAAUACCGGAUAAUAUUUUGAACCGCAUGGUUCAAAAGUAAAAGACGGUCUUGCUGUCACUUAUAGAUGGAUCCGCGCUGCAUUAGCUAGUUGGUAAGGUAACGGCUUACCAAGGCAACGAUGCAUAGCCGACCUGAGAGGGUGAUCGGCCACACUGGAACUGAGACACGGUCCAGACUCCUACGGGAGGCAGCAGUAGGGAAUCUUCCGCAAUGGGCGAAAGCCUGACGGAGCAACGCCGCGUGAGUGAUGAAGGUCUUCGGAUCGUAAAACUCUGUUAUUAGGGAAGAACAUAUGUGUAAGUAACUGUGCACAUCUUGACGGUACCUAAUCAGAAAGCCACGGCUAACUACGUGCCAGCAGCCGCGGUAAUACGUAGGUGGCAAGCGUUAUCCGGAAUUAUUGGGCGUAAAGCGCGCGUAGGCGGUUUUUUAAGUCUGAUGUGAAAGCCCACGGCUCAACCGUGGAGGGUCAUUGGAAACUGGAAAACUUGAGUGCAGAAGAGGAAAGUGGAAUUCCAUGUGUAGCGGUGAAAUGCGCAGAGAUAUGGAGGAACACCAGUGGCGAAGGCGACUUUCUGGUCUGUAACUGACGCUGAUGUGCGAAAGCGUGGGGAUCAAACAGGAUUAGAUACCCUGGUAGUCCACGCCGUAAACGAUGAGUGCUAAGUGUUAGGGGGUUUCCGCCCCUUAGUGCUGCAGCUAACGCAUUAAGCACUCCGCCUGGGGAGUGCGACCGCAAGGUUGAAACUCAAAGGAAUUGACGGGGACCCGCACAAGCGGUGGAGCAUGUGGUUUAAUUCGAAGCAACGCGAAGAACCUUACCAAAUCUUGACAUCCUUUGACAACUCUAGAGAUAGAGCCUUCCCCUUCGGGGGACAAAGUGACAGGUGGUGCAUGGUUGUCGUCAGCUCGUGUCGUGAGAUGUUGGGUUAAGUCCCGCAACGAGCGCAACCCUUAAGCUUAGUUGCCAUCAUUAAGUUGGGCACUCUAAGUUGACUGCCGGUGACAAACCGGAGGAAGGUGGGGAUGACGUCAAAUCAUCAUGCCCCUUAUGAUUUGGGCUACACACGUGCUACAAUGGACAAUACAAAGGGCAGCGAAACCGCGAGGUCAAGCAAAUCCCAUAAAGUUGUUCUCAGUUCGGAUUGUAGUCUGCAACUCGACUACAUGAAGCUGGAAUCGCUAGUAAUCGUAGAUCAGCAUGCUACGGUGAAUACGUUCCCGGGUCU
rnacentral:rRNA from 1 species